rnacentral:rRNA from 1 species
UGCAGUCGAGCGGUAACAGGAGAAGCUUGCUUCUCGCUGACGAGCGGCGGACGGGUGAGUAAUACUUAGGAAUCUACCUAGUAGUGGGGGAUAGCACGGGGAAACUCGUAUUAAUACCGCAUACGACCUACGGGAGAAAGGGGGCAGUUUACUGCUCUCGCUAUUAGAUGAGCCUAAGUCGGAUUAGCUAGAUGGUGGGGUAAAGGCCUACCAUGGCGACGAUCUGUAGCUGGUCUGAGAGGAUGAUCAGCCACACCGGGACUGAGACACGGCCCGGACUCCUACGGGAGGCAGCAGUGGGGAAUAUUGGACAAUGGGGGAAACCCUGAUCCAGCCAUGCCGCGUGUGUGAAGAAGGCCUUUUGGUUGUAAAGCACUUUAAGCAGUGAAGAAGACUCCAUGGUUAAUACCCAUGGACGAUGACAUUAGCUGCAGAAUAAGCACCGGCUAACUCUGUGCCAGCAGCCGCGGUAAUACAGAGGGUGCAAGCGUUAAUCGGAAUUACUGGGCGUAAAGGGAGCGUAGGUGGCUCUAUAAGUCAGAUGUGAAAUCCCCGGGCUUAACCUGGGAACUGCAUCUGAAACUGUAGAGCUAGAGUAUGUGAGAGGAAGGUAGAAUUCCAGGUGUAGCGGUGAAAUGCGUAGAGAUCUGGAGGAAUACCGAUGGCGAAGGCAUCCUUCUGUCAUAAUACUGACACUGAGGCUCGAAAGCGUGGGUAGCAAACAGGAUUAGAUACCCUGGUAGUCCACGCCGUAAACGAUGUCUACUAGUCGUUGGGUCCCUUGAGGACUUAGUGACGCAGCUAACGCAAUAAGUAGACCGCCUGGGGAGUACGGCCGCAAGGUUAAAACUCAAAUGAAUUGACGGGGGCCCGCACAAGCGGUGGAGCAUGUGGUUUAAUUCGAUGCAACGCGAAGAACCUUACCUGGUCUUGACAUAUCUAGAAUCCUGCAGAGAUGCGGGAGUGCCUUCGGGAAUUAGAAUACAGGUGCUGCAUGGCUGUCGUCAGCUCGUGUCGUGAGAUGUUGGGUUAAGUCCCGCAACGAGCGCAACCCUUGUCCUUAGUUACCAGCGGGUUAAGCCGGGAACUCUAAGGAUACUGCCAGUGACAAACUGGAGGAAGGCGGGGACGACGUCAAGUCAUCAUGGCCCUUACGACCAGGGCUACACACGUGCUACAAUGGUAGGUACAGAGGGCAGCUACACAGCGAUGUGAUGCGAAUCUCAAAAAGCCUAUCGUAGUCCAGAUUGGAGUCUGCAACUCGACUCCAUGAAGUAGGAAUCGCUAGUAAUCGCGGAUCAGAAUGCCGCGGUGAAUACGUUCCCGGGCCUUGUACACACCGCCCGUCAC